rnacentral:sRNA from 1 species
AAGUAUUUUCUUGAUGUUGCUAAGUAUAGCUUUGUUGGCGGCUUCUGCCUGUCCGUUACCUUGUGGGUAAUGGGGGGUGGAUGUGGUAAGACGGAUCUUCCAUUUGUCGCAAAAUGCUUUGAUUUUU